UGUUUAAAAAGAACAAAACCAAAAAGAGGAUGACUGUUUGGUCAGUACAAGAGGGCCACUGUUUGUUACGUGGUUUCUAUUGUGAUUCUUCUGAAGCUGAUUUUAACUGCAAAGGUGGCCACAUGGUGAUCACUGUGAAGAAGCAGUGAGUUUGCUCAUUGCACUUUUAGAUUUCCUUUGAAACUCCAAACAACAAAAUAGUGCCCUCAGCAAAACCUGAAGGUAGCAGAAAAUCCAUCUGUUGGGCUGAUGAAGGUGACACGUGUAACUUUGUGCUGCCUACUGUCCCCACUUCCAUCCCUUUAAUUGAUAUUUGAACCACCCCAAUUCCCAUAUUAAUUAGUCUGUAGUAGGUUUAAUUGCAUUGUACUACGUUUUUUUUUUCCCAAUGAACUGAACUUUUUAAUGAGUAUUCACUUCUUAAUAACAAAUUUAAAAAGUGGACUGUUCUUUUGUGGGAGAGGACAAUGAAACUCCUCCCCUUAGCUUCUAUAUUUGUAUAUGUGUAUAUAUAUAAUAUAUAUGUGUGUGUUUAUAUACAUGGACAUUUUUAAUAGUUUGAUUUGGACACUAGGUAGUCCUUUUAUGUUUUUCUCUUUGUUAUAUGUGAGUUGCAUGACGUUUAAUGCACAUACUGCCUUUCUGUCCCUUAUUCCCUCUAAGCAGGGCAAAGACAACGAGGAGAUGCAGCAGCAAGAGGACUGCUGCAUGAGGAAAGGCAGUGAAGGUCAUCGGGUGCUGGGAGGUGGAUGAGUGGAGUCCGGCCAGAGGCGUGGCAGCAGAGGACGAGCAUCCCAGUAGUUUUACAGCAGGAGCAGUGACCCUUGCUUUGUUUCUGCAGGAAAUGAGGAUCUUUUUUUAAGCCUGAACCCACGAUUUUAUUCAGCCGUGAUCGCUGAUGACAAAGCAGCAGCCCGUGGUUACCACGAGGUGUGGGCAACGAAAGUGAACCAGAAGCACGCCCGUGUUCCUGUUCCAGAUCAGGCACUUCUCCCUGGAAUGCCUGCGGCCGCCUGGCAGCCUGGAGCCCUUCCUCGACAGAAGCUCCCGCUCACCUUACAGCACCGCUUCGGUGAGUGAAACCCCCAGAGCGUGCUGCUAGAAGUGAGGUCGGGGGGGAUUUCACUUGGGCAGGACUGCAGGAGUCACUGGAAGAGAGUAGGUUCCUGUGUGAAGGCAGCUUGUAUCUUACCAGGAAAUCUACAGCGCUAGGGAAGUUCACAACACAAACUGCUUUUUUCCUCUGUUGCCGUUGUUAUUACUUUUGAUUAAAAACCAGAAGAAAACAAAAAAAAAACUGUUGUCAUAUUUGGUACAAUACAGGAAGUCAGAGAAAAGCUAUUGUACAGCAAUUUUUAACCACCAACACACAUUUAAUAUCUAGUGUAGCGUUAUGGAAAACUCAAUGUAUGUUUGGACUUCUUAAUGCUUCCAAAAAACUUUACUAUUGAAACAUAUAUGCGAUGUGGAUUGUAUGCUCAUAAUCUCACUGUAGUCAAGACAACAUACAGUAUGACUCGUAGGUACUGUAAAAAUGCUAACUAAAGAAUGCAGCUGCAAAGUACUAUUGCAUAAGGAAGCUUUCUUGUUUAAACUUUAAAUAAGCAAGUUUAUUAAAAUAUUCUAAGACACUUACCUUACCCUAGUUACUGGCAAGCUCUAAUAAAAGCCACAGUCUGUCACUAGUAUACUUUUCU
rnacentral:lncRNA from 1 species